rnacentral:rRNA from 1 species
GACAGGAGGAUGCAAGCGUUAUCCGGAAUGAUUGGGCGUAAAGGCGUCUGUAGGUGGCUUUUUAAGUCCGCCGGUCAAAUCCCAGGGCUCAACCCUGAACAGGCGGUGGAACUACCAAGCUGGAGUACGGUAGGGGCAGAGGGAAUUUCCGGUGGAGCGGUGAAAUGCGUAGAGGAUACGGCGAAAGAACACCAACGGCGAAA